GAGAGUCGCAGAUACCAGGUGGCUGCAACUGUUUAUUAAAAACACAGCACUGUGCAAAAUCGUAAGAUGACGUAUACGGUGUGACGCCUGCCCGGUGCCGGAAGGUUAAUUGAUGGGGUUAGACUUCGGUCGAAGCUCUUGAUCGAAGCCCCGGUAAACGGCGGCCGUAACUAUAACGGUCCUAAGGUAGCGAAAUUCCUUGUCGGGUAAGUUCCGACCUGCACGAAUGGCGUAAUGAUGGCCACGCUGUCUCCACCCGAGACUCAGUGAAAUUGAAAUCGCUGUGAAGAUGCAGUGUACCCGCGGCUAGACGGAAAGACCCCGUGAACCUUUACUACAGCUUGGCACUGAACAUUGAACCUACAUGUGUAGGAUAGGUGGGAGACUUUGAAACCGCGUCGCUAGAUGUGGUGGAGUCGUCCUUGAAAUACCACCCUUGUAGUUUUGAUGUUCUAACGUUGGCCCCUGAAUCGGGGUUACGGACAGUGCCUGGUGGGUAGUUUGACUGGGGCGGUCUCCUCCCAAAGAGUAACGGAGGAGCACGAAGGUGGGCUAAACACGGUUGGACAUCGUGUGGUUAGUGCAAUGGCAUAAGCCCGCUUGACUGCGAGAAUGACAAUUCGAGCAGGUGCGAAAGCAGGUCAUAGUGAUCCGGUGGUUCUGAAUGGAAGGGCCAUCGCUCAACGGAUAAAAGGUACUCCGGGGAUAACAGGCUGAUACCGCCCAAGAGUUCAUAUCGACGGCGGUGUUUGGCACCUCGAUGUCGGCUCAUCACAUCCUGGGGCUGAAGUCGGUCCCAAGGGUAUGGCUGUUCGCCAUUUAAAGUGGUACGCGAGCUGGGUUUAGAACGUCGUGAGACAGUUCGGUCCCUAUCUGCCGUGGGCGUUGGAAAAUUGAAAGGGGCUGCUCCUAGUACGAGAGGACCGGAGUGGACGAACCUCUGGUGUUCGGGUUGUCAUGCCAAUGGCAUUGCCCGGUAGCUAAGUUCGGAAUCGAUAACCGCUGAAAGCAUCUAAGCGGGAAGCGAGCCUUGAGAUGAGUUUUCCCUGACGCUAUAAGCGUCCUAAAGGGUUGUCGUAGACUACGACGUUGAUAGGCAGGGUGUGUAAGUGCUGCGAGGCAUUGAGCUAACCUGUACUAAUUGCCCGUGAGGCUUAACCAUACAACACCCAAGGGGUUU
rnacentral:rRNA from 1 species